rnacentral:rRNA from 1 species
GAUGAACGCUGGCGGCGUGCCUAAUACAUGCAAGUCGAGCGAAUGAUGAGGAGCUUGCUCCUCUGAUUUAGCGGCGGACGGGUGAGUAACACGUGGGUAAUCUGCCUGUAAGACGGGGAUAACUCCGGGAAACCGGGGCUAAUACCGGAUAACAAGAGAAGAAGCAUUUCUUCUUUUUGAAAGUCGGUUUUGGCUGACACUUACAGAUGAGCCCGCGGCGCAUUAGCUAGUUGGUGAGGUAACGGCUCACCAAGGCGACGAUGCGUAGCCGACAUGAGAGGGUGAUCGGCAACGCUGGGACUGAGACACGGCCCUGACUCCUACGGGAGGCAGCAGUAGGGAACCUUCGGCAAUGGGCGAAAGCCUGACCGAGCAGCGCCGCGUGAGCGAUGAAGGCCUUCGGGUCGUAAAGCUCUGUUGUUAGAGAAGAACAAGUACGAGAGUAACUGCUCGUACCUUGACGGUACCUAACCAGAAAGCCACGGCUAACUACGUGCCAGCAGCCGCCGUAA